CGGCGCCGUGGGUCAAAUACCUGCGGCAAGUUUGCCUCAGUCUUUUUGAUUAUCACACAUCAAAAUGUGAUUGAACUUUCGGGUUCUCUCAUUAAACUUGAAUACGACAUAUUUCAAUCCAACGAAGCUGUCACAGUCUUCUGACUCGUGAUUUCGGUGGCUCUUGAGCUAUGACCAGUAUAGAGACGCUAGUCUUUAGAAAUAAUCAGAAGCUGAGGUCAAGCUGGAACACCCGCUGAACUUAA
rnacentral:misc_RNA from 1 species